CCUACGGGUGGCAGCAGUGAGGAAUAUUGGUCAAUGGACGAGAGUCUGAACCAGCCAAGUAGCGUGAAGGAUGACUGCCCUAUGGGUUGUAAACUUCUUUUAUAAAGGAAUAAAACGAGGCACGUGUGCCUUUUUGCAUGUACUUUAUGAAUAAGGAUCGGCUAACUCCGUGCCAGCAGCCGCGGUAAUACGGAGGAUCCGAGCGUUAUCCGGAUUUAUUGGGUUUAAAGGGAGCGUGGAUGGGUUGUUAAGUCAGUUGUGAAAGUUUGCGGCUCAACCGUAAAAUUGCAAUUGAGACUGGCAGUCGUGAGUACAGUUGAGGUAGGCGGAAUUCGUGGUGUAGCGGUGAAAUGCUUAGAUAUCACGAAGAACUCCGAUUGCGAAGGCAGCUUACUAAACUGUGACUGACAUUGAUGCUCGAAAGUGUGGGUAUCAAACAGGAUUAGAUACCCGAGUAGUC
rnacentral:rRNA from 1 species